GACGAACGCUGGCGGCGCGCCUAACACAUGCAAGUCGAACGGAGCUGAGAGGAGCUUGCUUUUCUUAGCUUAGUGGCGAACGGGUGAGUAACGCGUGAGUAACCUGCCCUGGAGUGGGGGACAACAGUUGGAAACGACUGCUAAUACCGCAUAAGCCCACGAUCCGGCAUCGGAUUGAGGGAAAAGGAUUUAUUCGCUUCAGGAUGGACUCGCGUCCAAUUAGCUAGUUGGUGAGGUAACGGCCCACCAAGGCGACGAUUGGUAGCCGGACUGAGAGGUUGAACGGCCACAUUGGGACUGAGACACGGCCCAGACUCCUACGGGAGGCAGCAGUGGGGGAUAUUGCACAAUGGGGGAAACCCUGAUGCAGCGACGCCGCGUGGAGGAAGAAGGUUUUCGGAUUGUAAACUCCUGUCGUUAGGGACGAUAAUGACGGUACCUAACAAGAAAGCACCGG
rnacentral:rRNA from 1 species